GUCGAGAAUAAUUCACAAUGGGGGAAACCCUGAUGGUGCAACGCCGCGUGGAGGAUGAAGGUCUUCGGAUUGUAAACUCCUGUCAUCUGGGAGUAAGACCUGACGGUGAAUAGCCGGCAGGGUUGAUAGUACCAGAAGAGGAAGGGACGGCUAACUUCGUGCCAGCAGCCGCGGUAAUACGAAGGUCCCAAGCGUUGUUCGGAAUCACUGGGCGUAAAGGGAGCGUAGGCGGCGUGGUAAGUCAGAUGUGAAAUCCCGGGGCUCAACCCCGGAACUGCAUCCGAGACUGCCAUGCUUGAGGGUUGGAGAGGUAGCUGGAAUUCUCGGUGUAGCAGUGAAAUGCGUGGAUAUCGAGAGGAACACUCGUGGCGAAGGCGAGCUACUGGACAACAUCUGACGCUGAGGCUCGAAGGCCAGGGGAGCAAAAGGGAUUAGAAACCCCGGUAGUCC
rnacentral:rRNA from 1 species